GAGUUUGAUCAUGGCUCAGGACGAACGCUGGCGGCGUGCUUAACACAUGCAAGUCGAACGGAAAGGCCCUGCUUUUGUGGGGUGCUCGAGUGGCGAACGGGUGAGUAACACGUGAGUAACCUGCCCUUGACUUUGGGAUAACUUCAGGAAACUGGGGCUAAUACCGGAUAGGAGCUCCUGCUGCAUGGUGGGGGUUGGAAAGUUUCGGCGGUUGGGGAUGGACUCGCGGCUUAUCAGCUUGUUGGUGGGGUAGUGGCUUACCAAGGCUUUGACGGGUAGCCGGCCUGAGAGGGUGACCGGCCACAUUGGGACUGAGAUACGGCCCAGACUCCUACGGGAGGCAGCAGUGGGGAAUAUUGCACAAUGGGCGGAAGCCUGAUGCAGCAACGCCGCGUGCGGGAUGACGGCCUUCGGGUUGUAAACCGCUUUCGCCUGUGACGAAGCGUGAGUGACGGUAAUGGGUAAAGAAGCACCGGCUAACUACGUGCCAGCAGCCGCGGUGAUACGUAGGGUGCGAGCGUUGUCCGGAUUUAUUGGGCGUAAAGGGCUCGUAGGUGGUUGAUCGCGUCGGAAGUGUAAUCUUGGGGCUUAACCCUGAGCGUGCUUUCGAUACGGGUUGACUUGAGGAAGGUAGGGGAGAAUGGAAUUCCUGGUGGAGCGGUGGAAUGCGCAGAUAUCACGAGGAACACCGGUGGCGAAGGCGGCCCCCUGGACGAAGACUGACGCUCAGGUGCGAAAGCGUGGGGAGCAAACAGGAUUAGAUACCCUGGUAGUCCACGCCGUAAACGAUGUCGACUUGGAGGUUGUGCCCUUGAGGCGUGGCUUCCGUAGCUAACGCUUUAAGUACCCCGCCUGGGGAGUACGGCCGCAAGGCUAAAACUCAAAGGAAUUGACGGGGCCCCGCACAAGCGGCGGAGCAUGCGGAUUAAUUCGAUGCAACGCGUAGAACCUUACCUGGGUUUGACAUGGAUCGGGAGUGCUCAGAGAUGGGUGUGCCUCUUUUGGGGUCGGUUCACAGGUGGUGCAUGGCUGUCGUCAGCUCGUGUCGUGAGAUGUUGGGUUAAGUCCCGCAACGAGCGCAACCCUUGUUCACUGUUGCCAGCACGUUAUGGUGGGGACUCAGUGGAGACCGCCGGGGUCAACUCGGAGGAAGGUGGGGAUGACGUCAAGUCAUCAUGCCCCUUAUGUCCAGGGCUUCACGCAUGCUACAAUGGCUGGUACAGAGAGUGGCGAGCCUGUGAGGGUGAGCGAAUCUCGGAAAGCCGGUCUCAGUUCGGAUUGGGGUCUGCAACUCGACCUCAUGAAGUCGGAGUCGCUAGUAAUCGCAGAUCAGCAACGCUGCGGUGAAUACGUUCCCGGGGCUUGUACACACCGCCCGUCAAGUCAUGAAAGUUGGUAACACCCGAAGCCGGUGGCCUAACCGUUGUGGGGGAGCCGUCGAAGGUGGGACUGGUGAUUAGGACUAAGUCGUAACAAGGUAAC
rnacentral:rRNA from 1 species